CCGCUGGGUUUCUGUGGAGAGCUCUGGGGGGCCGUGCUGGAUCCGUUCCCCUCUCUUCAGUGGGGCGUCUGGGGUCGCUCUGAUCGCCCGCUCUGGAGCCCGACCGGGCGUCUUAAGAAGCUUGGUGGAUUGCUUUGCCCAAAAAAGUGCGAAGACUUUGGCUCAAAACAUCGCUCAUGACAUGAGGGCUACUCAUAGAUCUUGAAAAGGUCAAGGAUCGUAACUCAACAGAAGCCCAAACAUGGAGCACUUGACCCUGGAUAGAAGCGAGAGAGAUGAUCCAGACCUGAUGAAAGCCGGCAGCUAAGCCCUGAUGCUCCGAGUAAAACCUUCAGCAACCGAAGGUGAUUGAAGACGAGUGUGACUGAGAUAAGGAGGCCAGUGAAGUGUUAAACGGUCCCAGCAAGACUCAUCUCCCCCCACCCCUCGCGCUCACCGUCAGCCAAACCAAAUUGUACUUUAACUCCAGGAAAGAUGAAAUGCCACCUCUCAUGAGGCUAGCUGUCUAUCCUGCAUCUCGCCGACAUUUAUGGAAGAACUCGCCAUCGCGCCGGCUUCCUCGCGACUGACAACUACUGAAAAACACAAGGG